CCUACGGGUGGCAGCAGUGGGGGAUAUUGCUCAAUGGGGGAAACCCUGAUGCAGCGACGCCGCGUGGGGGAUGGAGGGUUUCGGCGCGUAAAGCCCUUUUGGUAGGGAAGAAGAUGACGGUACCUGUCCAAUAAGCUCCGGCUAACUACGUGCCAGCAGCCGCGGUAAUACGGAGGGUGCAAGCGUUAUCCGGAUUUACUGGGCGUAAAGGGGGCGUAGGCGGGAAGGCAAGCCAGGAGUGAAAUCCUUGGGCCCAACCCUAGAACUGCACUUGAAACUGGAUGGUUGGAGUAUAGGAGAGGCAGGCGGAAUUCGUGGUGUAGCGGUGAAAUGCGUAGAUAUUAGGAGGAACACUGAUGGCGAAGGCGGCCUGCUAGACUGUAACUGACGUUGAGGCGCGAAGGCGUGGGGAGCAAACAGGAUUAGAUACCCGUGUAGUC
rnacentral:rRNA from 1 species